rnacentral:rRNA from 1 species
UACGAAGGGGGCUAGCGUUGCUCGGAAUGACUGGGCGUAAAGGGCGCGUAGGCGGUUUGGACAGUCGGACGUGAAAUUCCAGGGCUCAACCUUGGGGCUGCGUUCGAGACGUUUGGACUAGAGUGUGGAAGAGGGUCGUGGAAUUCCCAGUGUAGAGGUGAAAUUCGUAGAUAUGCCAUAGAACACCAAUGGCGAAGGCAGCUGGCUGGACCUAUAUUGACGCUGAGGCACGAAAGCGUGGGGAGCGAACAGG